CUGCCACUGAGGAAGGUUUUCCUUCUGGAGGUCCCUCCCUUUGGAGUUUUUCUGCAAGCUUAGGGCACGGUGUUGGUAAUGCCUGUUCCCAAGGAGCAUUCAGCAGCAUCUCCAGAUGCCUGUUCAGCUUGGAGCAUUGAGCAGCACCUCCAGAGGACAAACUAAGGGAGAUACGACACUUAGGUUGUACCAGACCUGGAAAGUAAUUAUGCAUCAGCUACUUGGAAAGGAGACUUAAUGCCAGGGAGUGUGUGCAUCUCCUUGAGGAACAGAAUGCCUGAAAUCAUUGGAUUCCAGGGUAGCUCAGCCUAUAUCAGACUCAAACGUAUGAUUGCAGCUCUUAAAGUGUAAUGAGACCCAACUGUACAGUGAAACUUUUCCAGACAUAUGUAUGUGAUACGGGAAGAGUCAGGUGCAAAAAUUUCUGUUGUCUAGUCAUAAGCUGCAAAAAAUUAUUCUCUGUAAAAUGUAAAAAUCCAGUGAACUCUAACGCAAAACUUUGUUUAUGUAUGUUCACACCCACCACAUUUCUCUUUAGAGUUUAAGUAUCUUCAGAGUAAAAGUUGUGGGUUUGGGGUUGUUUUGGAUUUAUUUUUUUUCACUGUUUUGUUUUGCUUUGUUUUUAAUAAUAAACACACACAAAAAGGACUUGAAUCCUCCUCUUCUGUUCAGAAAAAGACUUUUCAUGCCUGUUAAUAUAUGAACGUGUAUAGAAAUCCAGAGUUGUACUGGACUUUCAAUAGCAUUAUGUUCAGCAG
rnacentral:lncRNA from 1 species